UACGUAGGGGGGCAAGCGUUGUCCGGAUUUAUUGGGCGUAAAGGGCGCGUAGGCGGCUUUUCAAGUGACGGGUGAAAGCCCUCGGCUUAACCGAGGAACUGCCUGUCAGACUGGAAGGCUUGAGACCGGGAGAGGUGAGUGGAAUUCCCAGUGUAGCGGUGAAAUGCGUAGAUAUUGGGAGGAACACCAGUGGCGAAGGCGGCUCACUGGACCGGAACUGACACUGAGGCGCGAAAGCGUGGGGGAGCAAACAGG
rnacentral:rRNA from 1 species